rnacentral:lncRNA from 1 species
CCCAGAUGCUUUUUCCAGGUCAGCGUUCUUCACACUACACCAUACUGCUGCUGACCCUGCGAGAGAGGAGACGAGUGUACCGCAGUGCCACUCGAAAGCCCUGCUGGCCCCAUCAUGAUCGCCAUGCAGAGCACAGAGUGCUGUAGUCUCUGAAGCACUUGCUCAUUUAGGAUGAGAGUCUUGCAGUGGUUAUAGCAUCUGUUGAUAAUUACAGCUUGAAUCCGUUCUUACUUGGAAGAAGAGUAUUUGGAAACCAAGAUCUAGGACCCGUGAAGACAUUUCCAUCAUCUCAAAGUGUUCUCUUGUGUCACAUUCCGGUCUGUCCCUCGCUGCAGCCCCAGGCUCUCACUCCUCUCCUGUCACCGUGGAUUGAGCGAAACUCAUGUCUAGACUUCUCUGUCACCUGAGUCAUGUUGGGUGUACUCUUUUGUGUUAGGCUUCUUCUCUUCAGCAUGUUUCGAUAUUCACCUGUAUUGUAUUUAUCAGGAGUCCAUCCCUUUUUAUUUCUGCACAUAUGCUACUGUCUCGAAGUGCAUUAAGUGGACAUUUGGUUGUUCCCAGCUGUUACAAAUAAAGUUGCCGUGAAC